CGCAUUUGUCCGCCGCGGUUGUCGGAACCUGUGUAUGCGCAUACUUGUGUGUACCUGUAAACGCGGCGAUGGCGGAGGAGUGCGGCUAAAAAACUUUUAAAUAUUACUUUUUCUGGGUCACAAAAUAAACUCUUAAGAUAUUUUCAGACGAGAAUGUAGCUGUGUAAAGUUCAAUUAUCUGCUCGAUUUGUCAAGACAUCACAUAUUUGCAAAAAUGCUCCAACGUUUUUGGACACAUCUAUUUUUUUUAAUGCUUUGUGGCAGCUUUUGAACAGCUGUGGCAUCUAUUAAUGUCAAAUCUAGCCUUUAUUUAACAACAUAAGCAAACUGCUUUUAUAUUUAACCAACUUUUCUGUUUAAUUACAUUUUAAAUCAUAAUAAUAAUAACAAUAGUAUUUAUUUUGUUAAAAAAUGUGUUUAAAAACAGGUUUUGUUGUGAAAGCUAUAAUCCAGAUUAGUGGCUUAUUAAAUGGUUAAAGCCUAGGUUGGCUUUAUACUUGAGAAUAAAGUAAUAUAGCUUGUCCUUCUAAAGAAUUAAGUUAAAUUCCAUAGUUGAAUCAUAAGAAACAUUAUGUUACAUAUAAACCCUGCCAUAUGUUGGAUCUGGUCAUUUUGCUUGUUAGAAACUUUAUAUAUUGGAAGUUAGCGUUUAACAAGCAUGUAAUGAUUAUAUUUAAACUAGUUGGUCUUUUUUUAAACACAUAUCUCUUUAGGCCUAAACUGACAGUGCCAAUACCACACAUUCAGACACAGUAGUAGAUGGUGUUUUUAAUACUAUAUGUGUUAGUCUAAUUUGGUUGUAUGGGUCUACAUUGACCUUCUGUGUUGUAAAUUAUAAUGAUUGCACAGCCAUUAAGGAUCAAAUCAGCUUCUAAAAAAUUUUUCUGUUUUUUCUCCCUCUGCUUGCUUCUUGCUGUCUUUGAGGCUCGGGACCAGCACUCCUGCUGUUGGACAGAAAGACAUCAACUCAGUGUGACAGUCGGAGAGGAGGAAGAGCGGACGUGACAGCAGAGAGAGCGGGAGUGUCUGUGUCCCAGUGAAAAACGAAAACCACAGUUUCAAAUAAAAGUUCUGCUACUUGAGAUAUGACUGCACGAUACUGUUGCUGUGACUCCAGUUAAUUCUACAAGACAUGCUGUGACACCAGGAGAGAUGAGUCCUCCGUCACAGAUGGUGUGGUCAGUGAAGAUGAUCGCCUGCAGGUUCAAGCUCAUUGCAUCGCCAACCCACAUCCACUGCCACUGUACUUAAGGGAAGUUAAAGACUUUCUUCUGCACCUACAUUUGGAUCACCUCGAUCCAUGACAGUCAUUCAGGCAGUAAUGCCUGGACUGGAAACAAGCAUCCUUAAAAUAAUACAACAUUCCAGCUCCUGUGUUGGAAUGGAAAACAAAUGUGUUGUUUAAAUUAGAGACUGCACUUGUGACAGAACAACAAAUAUUUUUUAUUUUGAUUAUAUAAGUAAUGUAACUACAAAACAAACUUGUGGUAGGCCUAAACUUAUUUUCUUAAUAAUUAAAUCUGAGACUUAAUUAAGAUUAUAACAGUGAUGGCAAUAUAAUUAUAUGUUGUUCAAGAGAACAGUGUCCAGUAUGUUGGCUGUUGUACUUUUUUGCAUUUGAAAAUAACAGUUGGGCUCAUUUUAACAUCAUUACAAAAAGUGUUGUUAAUUAUUUUUAAUCAUAUUCAGGUUACCACAAAUUGUUUUUUCAUUUAGUUGAACUUAACAUGUUUGUCAGUAGGUAAACAAUUAGUAUUGUACAGUCAGAAAUAUCAAGUUAUUCUUAAUACUGCAGACUUGCAAUGAAUAAGUUGUCCUAACAGUCAUCUUAAGUAAGCUUUACUUUUUAAGGUUUUUUUUUGUUUUUUUAAGGCAACGUGUUUGCAUAUUUUUUUGAGUUCUGGAAACUAAAUAGGUUUUAACUCUGUACUCAAAGGGAAGAAGUUGCCUUAACUUAGUCAUCUUAAGCAAACUUUACUCAAUUUUUUUGAGGCAACAAGUUUGCAUUGUUUUUUUGAGUUCUGGGAACUAACGAGGUUGUACAGUGUGAAACUAGCACCACUCGCUAACUAUGGUCCGUUUCAUGUUAUUAAUAUGCAAAUUUUUAUGAGCAUGGAUCAACAGCCACUGAUCAAUGAGCAUGAGUACCUUUCACAGAGUGCUUGGAAAAGGCCACAAUUGCACCUAAAGGCCAGUGGCCACUCUUUCAGUGAUGAGGAUGUACACAUCCUGGACUUUCCUUUUUGAUAAAGCAUGCAGUUAGGGCUGGAUCAGGUGACUCUGAAUUACCAAUUACCAAUGACAAUGGGUCAAUGGCCAUGAAUGCCAUUCUCUGUGAAUGGUACUCAUGUACUCAUGUCUAUGACAGUUUGAAUAUUAAUGAUCAUGAAACUGACCUCCCAGCCCAUUGUUCCUUCAGUGGUGCUAGUUUCAGUCUGUUGUAAGAUUUUAUGUUUUAUGUGUUUUUAUUCGUUGUUUUAUUAUCUUUCAUUAACAAGCAUAUCAUGAAGUGUUCAUAUAUUUCACAAGAUUUGCUGAACUUUUCCACUGUUUUGCAAGCUGACAUUUAACUCUGCAACACAAAUAAGUUAAACAGGAAACAGAUGCAGCACCCAAACCACAAGAGUUCAAAAGUGCACCACGUUUCCUAGAGGAAGCAGCCAGACACACAUGUGACACACACACACCCACACACACAACCAUUGGUUUAGAGGAACUUGUAAAAGAGGAAAUGUGAUGUACUUGCAUACACG
ensembl:lncRNA